rnacentral:miRNA from 1 species
AAUGAGAGAGAACACUGCAAA